UACGGGGGGGGCAAGCGUUGUUCGGAAUUACUGGGCGUAAAGGGCUCGUAGGCGGCCAACUAAGUCAGACGUGAAAUCCCUCGGCUUAACCGGGGAACUGCGUCUGAUACUGGAUGGCUUGAGUUUGGGAGAGGGAUGCGGAAUUCCAGGUGUAGCGGUGAAAUGCGUAGAUAUCUGGAGGAACACCAGUGGCGAAAGCGGCUCUCUGGGCAAUGACCGACGCUGAGGCGCGAAGGCGUGGGAAGCAAACAGG
rnacentral:rRNA from 1 species